rnacentral:rRNA from 1 species
CCUACGGGAGGCAGCAGUGAGGAAUAUUGGUCAAUGGGCGCGAGCCUGAACCAGCCAAGCCGCGUGAGGGAAGACGGUCCUAUGGAUUGUAAACCUCUUUUGUCGGGGAGCAAAAGACGCCACGCGUGGCGUUCCGAGAGUACCCGAAGAAAAAGCAUCGGCUAACUCCGUGCCAGCAGCCGCGGUAAUACGGAGGAUGCGAGCGUUAUCCGGCUUUAUUGGGUUUAAAGGGUGCGCAGGCGGAAGAUCAAGUCAGCGGUAAAAUUGAGAGGCUCAACCUCUUCGUGCCGUUGAUACUGGUGUUCUUGAGUGAGCGAGAGGUAUGCGGAAUGCGUGGUGUAGCGGUGAAAUGCAUAGAGAUCACGCAGAACACCGAUUGCGAAGGCAGCAUACCGGCGCUCAACUGACGUUGAUGCACGAAAGUGUGGGGAGCGAACAGGAUUAGAUACCCUAGUAGUC